GAUGUAGCUGGAGAGCUUCCUUGCAAGUGUCCUUUGAAAAAGGGAAACUAUAAGUUCAGCAAGAAGGUUUCCAUGAAUUUAAAAGAUUACAUCGCAGGCAGUUACCAGGUUGUAGUGAAGGCCUCCAACAAUGAGAAAAGUCUCGCCUGCUACAAAGCUACUUUUAGUAUCAAAAGAACAUAAACCAAGAUGUAUAACUCUACACCACCAGUAGGAGCUUUGAACGUAUGAAUGUUGUCUUCACUGUCCCAUAGAUUUCCAUUUAUACUUGCAUUACACACCGGCCACGCCCGUUGACCUGUCCCCAAGCUUUAUAUUGCUAAUUAUCCCAUCCUUUUAUUUUAAAAGGUUCAACAUACUUUCGGCCCAUGAAUUAUUGUAUCUUUUACAGUGAAAUGAAACGACCCUCCCUCUUUCCUGGUCUCUGUCUCUCUCUCUAUAUAUCACUCGAGCAGGGCUAGCAUCUCUUAAAGAACUUUUUCAUGACCGAUUCCUUUCCAAAUCACACAAUUAUUCAAAAGAACCUGCACCCAUUAAACCAGUUACAUCAGAUCUGAACGAAGUUGUCUCCUCUCCGUGAAUUACGGCUAAAUAAAAUGUAUAAAAACCCCUUUAGUCCACUUUUAGUCAGGGUGUUUCAAGGUACACUGAAGUUUAAUUCACAAAACGCUGGUCGUGUGUGUGUGUGUGUCACGUAUGUGCAAGUUGUUCGUGUUUGCAUCUAUAUUGUUUUUGCUCUAGUAGUAAUACUGAUGUGGACAGUUACAGUCAAACUGAAUUUCUAUUUGUUUUGGACCAAUAAAAGUAUCUUAUCUUCUCGA
rnacentral:sRNA from 1 species